UAACAAGGAUUCCCCUAGUAACGGCGAGUGAAGCGGGAUGAGCUCAAAUUUGAAAUCUGGCUGGUUUACUAGUCCGAGUUGUAAUUUAAAGAAGCGUUUUCGGUGGCAGCCUGGGUAUAAAUCCUUUGGAAUAGGGUAUCAUAGAGGGUGAGAAUCCCGUCUUUGACCUAGUGCAUGCUACUAUGUGAUACGUUUUCAAAGAGUCGAGUUGUUUGGGAAUGCAGCUCAAAAUGGGUGGUAAAUUUCAUCUAAAGCUAAAUAUUGGCGAGAGACCGAUAGCGAACAAGUACCGUGAGGGAAAGAUGAAAAGAACUUUGAAAAGAGAGUUAAACAGUGCGUGAAAUUGUUGAAAGGGAAACGUUUGACACCAGUCAUGUGGGUGGAAAAUCAGUCUUUUGCAUUGGGGAGUUGUAAGGGUUCGGACCGCAAGGCCGGCUUUUGCUUCAUCUUUGGUGUAAGUGAUGCACUUUUUCAUCUACAGGUCAACAUCAGUUUCUUUUGCUGGACAAAACUCCGAGAGAAGGUAGCAGCUUAGGCUGUGUUAUAGCUCUGGAGCGAUACAGUGAAGGGGACUGAGGUUUUCGCAGCGUGUGCUCUCGGGCAAGGCUGGAUGGGUGCUAUGGGAUCGUUCGGGGUACAAUGCCUGGCAUUUUGCUUCGUGUCUUUUCUAUACUCGCUCAACUCAGCUCUUCCACGCUUAGGAUGUUGACUUAAUGGUUUUAAACGACCCGUCUUGAAACACGGACCAA
rnacentral:rRNA from 2 species